ensembl:lincRNA
GCUGGAGGGUGUGCCAGGACAUUGAACAUCAGAACAAGCACCCUUCAGGCAACUGAAUAUCAGAGAGAUAUUUCUUUUUUUGGGGGGGGGGGUUUCUCCGGUACUGGGAACCGAACUCACGACCUUGUGCUUGCCAGGCAGGCGCUUUUGCCGCUGAGCUAAAUCCCCAGCCCCAGAGAGAUAUUUCUUAAUGGUGGGUGGGAACACUUUGUACAGCCAUCCCAUGAACAAUUGCCUUGUGCACCAAGCUUUGGCAUUGCCCUGCACGUGACAGGCAGUCUGGCCUGGUACACAUUCUGUUCCUUCAACGCACAGGAGGUCUAGGAAUGGUCCACCAGUAGCAGCUUCAUCUUCAGUUGGGUGCUUGUUGUCGCACACAGUGAAAGGAUCAGUCUGUUCUUCCUGGGGCUGCGCCCCAGCAGUGCCUUUUCCUCUUGUGUUAUAUAGGUUGUCUUUGGUGUUUUCUUCCAGAAGAGUCCUGUUUCAUCAUAGUUGAGCACUUGUUGAGCAACGUUUCCUACUGCCUUUAUGAAUUUUGUGAAUUCUUCUGCAAGGACCUCGUCAGAUUUGGAAGCCUCAUCACAUCUUAUCACACUGUGGAUGCCACUUCUCUUGUGGAAUUUAUCAAACCACCCUCUACUGGCUUUGAAUUCAUCACUUGUUGGACUUGUAAAGGAAGGGCACAAAGGUCAGGCUUAAGUGUACCAAGAUUUUCUGAACUUGUGCAUUGCAAUGUAACAAACUGGAAAUUGCAUUUCUCCUGGUUUUUCAUUGAAUUACACAGUCAGUGAAAACUGCCAACUUGCUGAUUAUAUAUAUUAUUAAGUCCAAAAGGCAAAAGGCUUGUCUCGCAGAUAUUUCCAAUCUGUAACUUUCCCAAGCAUUUCUUCACUAUUCUUGAAUUUUUAAAGUCAUUUAAAGAUGAUACAAUUUGGUUUCGCCAAUCCAGAACUAAAAGCACUCAAUAUGCAAAUGGUAACUCUGCUUAGCCUGGAGCCACUGACACCAGCAAGGGCGGAAGUAAUGGACCACCUUGUCGUUGCACAAUGCAGGUGGAAAUCCAGCUUUCUACUAAGCGUCAGUGAUGUCAACCGUGGUUGGAGAGCUGAGUUCUGUGCAACUCACCUUACACUACUGCCCUCAGUGUCUUGGCACCUGAGGGUGAUGGAGCUCAGUGCCCCUUCCGGCCACAGGAGCAGCUGGACAGAAUAUAGACUUCCCUGACACUCCUGCUAGAAUGUGCACAAGGCAUGAAGGAAACCAGGAAAUUACCUUUGUGCUGUUCUUGAGACUUUGGAAUCCCUGAAAGUCAAUGCCAUGAUGCUUAACUUUAUGUGUCAACUGUUUAGCAAAGAACCCAGCUAAGUGGUUGGACAUUUUUUGGGUAGAUCUUUAAGGAUAUUUCUGCAUUAUGAUAAAUAUAUGAAUCAGAAGACAUUCUUCAUCAGUGUGGGAUAUUUUGUGUUGUGUUUUGUCUGCUAGACACAGCAAGCCAUGGUGAUCAUGAAGAACAUACCAUGUUGUUUAUCACACAUUCAGGAAUGUAUUUUUAAAAAAUCAAGAUAACAAAGAUAAUAAAAGUAAUUUUCAGUGGGAAAUUAAUUCCUAAGAGUUGAUAAUAAAG